rnacentral:rRNA from 1 species
AUAAAAACUAGCUCUUAACAAACAAAUAAAAACUAAAUUUUUAUAAAAAAAAUAAAAAAUUAAUAAAAAAUAGUAUAGCCAUUAGAAAUUUAACUAGAAGCUAAAUAUAAAGUACUGUAAAGGAAAACUGAAAAACUUAAAAAUAAAAAUUAAAAAAAAGAAGAUAUUAACCCUCCUACCUUUUGUAUUAUGGUUUAACAACAAAAAUAGAAAACAAACUCAAAACCCGAAACCAAGAGAUCUAAUGAAACCCCAACACAAGGUUGUAUAAUAUUACUGUUACAAAAGUAAAUUAAGAGGUUUCAUUAGCCAUAAAAAGUGAAUCGAGCUUGGUAAUAGCUGGUAUCUUGUAAAAAUGAGCUUAAACUCAAGCUUCUAAUUAUGGCUAAAACUAUUUUUACCAUAAAAACAGAAAGCUAGACUAACAGGGAUAAACUUUUUAGUCAAAGGAAAAAGCCUACUUAAAUAGUUAAAAUCAAAAAUUAAAAUAAGAAACAAAAAUAUAGUAGGCCUAGAAGCAGCCAUCAAAAAGAAAGCGUUAAAGCACAAUAAACCAACAAACAAUAAUUUAUGAAAACUAAAUUUUAACUUUAAAAAAUAACAAGACAAUAACUACCAAAGUUAAAAGAUAAUGUUAAAAUUAGUAUUUUUAAGGUUAAAAAUUUUUAAACUAUUCUAACAGAACUUUAUGCUGGAAGAAAGAAACUAUUUUCUCUAGAAAAAAAUUUUAUUAAAUAGUAUUACCAACACCGGAAACCAAAUAAAAAAAAACAUAAGAGGAAGGAACUCGGCAAACUAAAGCUUCGCCUGUUUACCAAAAACAUCGCCCCUUGAUAUAAAUAAAUAAGGGGUACUGCCUGCCCAGUGACAAAAGUUAAACGGCCGCGGUAUUUUGACCGUGCAAAGGUAGCAUAAUAAUUUGUUCUUUAAUUGAGGACUAGUAUGAAAGGCAACACGAAAGCUUAGCUGUCUCCCCCUUAAAAAAAGAAAUUAUUAUCUUUGUGAAGAAACAAAGAUAAAAACGUAAGACGAGAAGACCCUGUCGAGCUUAAGAAAAUUUUUAUAGAAAAAUCAUAGCUAAUAACUAAUCUACUUAUAAUUAAAUAAAAAUAUCUUUGGUUGGGGCAACCACGAAGAAAAAAAAACCUUUGUUCUAAAAAAAGAAUAAACAAAUUUAAAAAUUUUUUGAAAUUUAUAAAGAUCCAGAAAAUACUGAUCAAAGAAAAAAGUUACCGCAGGGAUAACAGCGUUAUUCUCUUUAAGAGUUCAUAUUGACAAGAGAGUUUGCGACCUCGAUGUUGGACCGGGGCACCCAAGAGGUGCAACAGCCUCUAAAGGUGGGUCUGUUCGACCUUUAAAGCCCUACGCGAUCUGAGUUCAGACCGACGCAAGUCAGGUCAGUUUCUAUCUACGAAAAGUAGUUUUACUAGUACGAAAGGAAUUUAAAACUAGAAUUAAAACCUCAAUAAUAAUUCUAUAUAAAAUACUGAAAACAAAUAAAGAAAACUUA